GGGGCCAUAGCUCAGAGGUAGAGCACAUGCAUUGCGUGCCAGAGCUCCUGGGUUCAAUCCCUGGUGUUGCCA